GUCCUGCGCGGCUGUUCUCUGGAGCAGCGUUAGUUUAUCUCCAUCCGCUUUCUCUCCCACCUAAGUGCGUGCCGCCUCCUGAUGGAAGAUUCGAUGGACAUGGACAUGAGCCCCCUGAGGCCCCAGAACUAUCUUUUUGGUUGUGAACUAAAGGCCGACAAAGAUGAUCACUUUAAGGUGGAUAAUGACGAAAAUAAGCACCAGUUAUCUUUAAGAACGGUCAGUUUAGGGGCUGGUGCAAAGGAUGAAUUGCACGUUGUUGAAGCAGAGGCAAUGAAUUACGAAGGCAGUCCAAUUAAAGUAACACUGGCAACUUUGAAAAUGUCUGUACAGCCAAUGGUUUCCCUUGGGGGCUUUGAAAUAACCCCCCAGUGGUCUUAAGGUUGAAGUGUGGUUCAGGGCUAGUGCAUAUUAGUGGACAGCACUUAGUAGCUGUGGAGGAAGAUGCAGAGUCAGAAGAUGAAGAGGAGGAGGACGUGAAACACUUAAGUAUAUCUGAAAAGCGAUCUGCUACUGGAGGUGGUAGCAAGGUUCCACAGAAAAAAGUAAAACUUGCUGCUGAUGAAGAUGAUGAUGAUGAUGAAGAUGAUGAUGAUGAUUUUGAUGAUGAGGAAGCUGAAGAAAAAGCACCAAUCAAAAGGACAAGAAUCCUUCAAAAAAACAGGAAAAAAACUCCUAAAACACCAAAAGGACCUGGUUCUGUAGAAGACAUUAAAGCAAAAAUGCAAGCAAGUGUAGAAAAAGCACAUUGAACAGCCCUGGGCACUACAUGUAAAUUAAGCCCAAAGAUGGGGAGAAAGGAAAAGGAGAGACAAAUAUAGUCCAUUUUGAGUGUCAUCAACAAUCCAGACUGAAGUCUUCUAGUUUAAUCUCAAUCCCCUUUUCUGAUUUGCCACCCAUGCCUCUUCAGGCUGGAAACAAUCUCACUCUUGGUUCCCUAAAGCACUUUCUUCUGACUGCUGUGGUUCAGUGAACCUUGCCCUUUGCUUUCUAUUACUUGUGCAUUUGCCUCACCUCUGACAAUGUUUUAAAUUGCCUUUGUAUCUCCUUAGCUGCUCAAUAAAUAUUUGAAUGAAUCAA